rnacentral:pre_miRNA from 1 species
GAACCAGAAAUAAUAAAUGACUGCCUUCCCCAAAAUUGAAAUUGGCAAUGUAGAUAUUUUAGCAGGAAAUAGAAUUUACAUAUAAAUUUCAAUUUCUGUUUCUAUUUCCUGCUUAAAUAUCUAUCUACAUUGCCAACAACUAAAGGAAAGAAGACAAUCAUUUAAUCUACUCUGAUUC